rnacentral:rRNA from 1 species
AAAAAAUUAUUUUUAUUAUAGUGGAAAGUAUUGUGAAAGAGUUUUAUGAAUUAUUAAAAAGAAAAUUUUAUUUUUUGUACCUUGUGUAUCAGGGUUUAUUAAAUUAUUUUAAAUAUUUUAAUUUUUUCGAAUUUAAAAGAGUUAAAAAAUUAUUUUAUUUUAUUGUAUUAUAAAUAAGUAAAAUAUUUUUUUUGUAGUGAAAUGUUAUUCGAUUUUAAAUAUAUCUAAUUUUUUAAGAAAUAAAUUAAAUUUAUUUAAUAAUAAUAUUAAUUUUUUUUUAUAAAAAAUAUUAUUAUUAAAAAAUAUUUUUAGGGAUUAGCUUAAAAAUUUAUUUUUUAUUAUUAAUUAGAAGUUAAUGAAAUAUUUUAGGAUUAAAAUUUUUUAUAAUUAAAAUAUGUUAUUAUUUAUUUUUGUUGAAUUAAAAUUUUUAUGUAGUAUAAGUUUUUUAUUAAAAUAUAAUUUUGAAUUAAAUUAAAUUAGGAAUUAUGAUAAAAUUAGUAUAAUUUAAUUUAUAUUUAAUAUAAAUUUAAGGUUAAUUUAAGGAAUUCGGCAAAUUAAUUUUUCAACUGUUUAUUAAAAACAUUGCUUUUUGUUUUAUAUUUGAAGUAGAACCUGCCCAAUGUAUAAUCAAUGGCUGCAGUAUUUUGACUGUACUAAGGUAGCAUAAUCAUUAGCUUUUUAAUUGGAAGCUGGAAUGAAUGGUAUAAUGGAAAAAUUGCUGUCUCGGGUUAAUUUUUAUUAAAAUUUUAUUUUUAAGUUAAAAAGCUUAGAUUUUUUUAAAAGACGAGAAGACCCUAUAGAAUUUUAUAUAUUAAUUAUUAUUAUUUUUUAGAAUUUAUAGUGUUAUUAAUUAUUAUAUUUGGUUGGGGUGACUAAAAAAUUUAAAUAACUUUUUUUUAUAUAUAAAUACUAAUUUGUAAAUUUAUGAGCCAUAUAUUAUGAUUGAAAGAAUAAAUUACCUUAGGGAUAACAGCGUAAUUUUACUGGAGAGUUCUUAUUGAUAGUAGAGUUUGCGACCUCGAUGUUGGAUUAAAAUUAAUUUUUAAUGCAGAAGUUAAAAAAUUAAGUCUGUUCGACUUUUAAAAUUUUACAUGAUCUGAGUUUAGACCGGUGUGAGCCAGGUCGGUUUCUAUCUUUAAAUAAAUUUUAUGAAUUAGUACGAAAGGACCAUUUAUAAUUAAAAAUUAAUU